GUGCAAAAGUAUUUGUGGGUUUUGUCAUUGAAAGUAAUGGCAAAAACUGCAAUUACUU
rnacentral:miRNA from 10 species